rnacentral:rRNA from 1 species
CAGUCGCCGCGGGAAUACAGAGGGUGCGAGCGUUAAUCGGAUUUACUGGGCGUAAAGCGUGCGUAGGCGGCUAAUUGAGUCGGAUGUGAAAUCCCCUAGCUUAACUUGGGAAUUGCAUUCGAUACUGGUUAGCUAGAGUGUGGGAGAGGAUGGUAGAAUUCCAGGUGUAGCGGUGAAAUGCGUAGAGAUCUGGAGGAAUACCGAUGGCGAAGGCAGCCAUCUGGCCUAACACUGACGCUGAGGUACGAAAGCAUGGGGAGCAAACAGGAUUAGAUACCCGCGUAGUCCCUGUCUCUUAUAC